rnacentral:rRNA from 1 species
UACGUAGGUGACCAGCGUUGUCCGGAUUUACUGGGCGUAAAGAGCGCGCAGGCGGUCGUUCAAGUCGAGUGUGAAAGCCCCCGGCUCAACUGGGGAGGGUCAUUCGAUACUGAUCGACUCGAAGGCAGGAGAGGGAAGCGGAAUUCCCGGUGUAGUGGUGAAAUGCGUAGAUAUCGGGAGGAACACCAGUGGCGAAGGCGGCUUCCUGGCCUGUUCUUGACGCUGAGGCGGCGAAAGCUAGGGGAGCAAACGGGG